rnacentral:rRNA from 1 species
UAACGCGUGGGUAACCUGCCUCGUACAGGGGGAUAGCAGCUGGAAACGGCUGAUAAAACCGCAUAAGCGCACAGCAUCGCAUGAUGCAGUGUGAAAAACUCCGGUGGUAUGAGAUGGACCCGCGUCUGAUUAGCUGGUUGGUGAGGUAACGGCCCACCAAGGCGACGAUCAGUAGCCGGCCUGAGAGGGUGACCGGCCACAUUGGGACUGAGACACGGCCCAA